CUGGCUCAGGACGAACGCUGGCGGCGUGCUUAACACAUGCAAGUCGAACGAGGUGAUUGAAAGCUUGCUUUUGAGAACCGAGUGGCAAACGGGUGAGUAACGCGUAGACAA
rnacentral:rRNA from 1 species